UACAGAGGGUGCGAGCGUUGUCCGGAAUCACUGGGCGUAAAGGGCGCGUAGGUGGCGUCGCAAGUCCGUGGUGAAAGCUCGUCGCUCAACGGCGAGUCGGCCACGGAUACUGCGAGGCUCGAGCACUGUAGAGGCAGAUGGAAUUCCGGGUGUAGUGGUGGAAUGCGUAGAGAUCCGGAAGAACACCGGUGGCGAAGGCGGUCUGCUGGGCAGUAGCUGACACUGAGGCGCGACAGCGUGGGGAGCAAACAGG
rnacentral:rRNA from 1 species